AGCGAACGCUGGCGGCAGGCCUAACACAUGCAAGUCGAACGAACCUUUCGGGGUUAGUGGCGGACGGGUGAGUAACACGUGGGAACGUGCCUUUAGGUUCGGAAUAACUCAGGGAAACUUGUGCUAAUACCGAAUGUGCCCUUCGGGGGAAAGAUUUAUCGCCUUUAGAGCGGCCCGCGUCUGAUUAGCUAGUUGGUUGAGGUAAUGGCUCACCAAGGCGACGAUCAGUAGCUGGUCUGAGAGGAUGAUCAGCCACAUUGGGACUGCGACACGGCCCAAACUCCUACGGGAGGCAGCAGUGGGGAAUCUUGCGCAAUGGGCGAAAGCCUGACGCAGCCAUGCCGCGUGAAUGAUGAAGGUCUUAGGAUUGUAAAAUUCUUUCACCGGGGACGAUAAUGACGGUACCCGGAGAAGAAGCCCCGGCUAACUUCGUG
rnacentral:rRNA from 1 species